rnacentral:lncRNA from 1 species
UUCCAGUGAAUGCAUUAAUGAGUUGCAGGUCAUUGUAGGCUGACAGCAAAAUGUACUCACAAAAAAUGGGCAACUGUACUACAGACUCCCUUUUCCAGAAAUUGCACUGGGACAUGCGAUUCAGCUGUCUGAUUGCCAAAGCUGUCUGCCAUUACAAAAACCUGGCAUCUAUACAGAUGGUUUUCAGCAAGCUGUUCACAAGCUGAGGAGAGGAAAAAGUACAGGUGCUGUGUUUCAGCUUCAGAGUUUCAUUGUAGCUGGGGAUCAAAAUGUUAUUUGGAAAAGGAAAUAAAAGCUAACUAUAGUCAAGUUAGAAAACUCAUGAACAUGUCCCUCUGGAAAUUUCCAUCACCUUUUGUUUAUGUUUCUGGCACUUUCAGCCCUUCUUUGAUUAAAUCCCAGAAAGAAUUCUGUGACACUGGCUUGGCUAUGUUUUGCUGAAGCUUCACUGAGGGGAAAAUAGUAUUAGUCCUUUUACCUGGUUUUGGAUUACCUGAAUUGUUUCAUAUAAGAUGCCACUUAAUCCAAGUAUUCUAAAAAGUAUAAAUAAACUUGAGCUAUUGGGGGGUAAAAGGGUGUAUGUAAGAAAAAAAUUGACAUUUUGAAAUGUUGGUCUUCAGAUCAAACAAAUUAAGAUUAAUCGCUCUAGGAUGCUGAAUGAAAAUUUGAUAUCAUUUUAGGACUCUGGUGUUUGAUCUUACAGUUUUAAGAAUCAAAAGGACCAAAUAAUUAUUACUUAUGAUACAUUCAAAUAUCUUAGCCAAAUUAUCUUAGAUGGAUAGAUUAUUACCUAAAGAAUUGUGAGAAAUCUCUUGUUCCUUGAUACUUUAAUGGUGGGAGCAAAAGAAAAUGGCACUCCCACCUAGCACAGUCUGAAUACCAACCCUUUUAUCCAUAAGAUAGCUUUUGAGAAUAACUCAAGAAUAUUACAUCCUAUACACUUAUUCUUUGAACUUAAUAUUUAGGAGGGGUGCUGGACACUGGACUGGAUCACCCUGAAACAGUACAUUGAAUAAACAGAGUGAAAAAAAUGAAUCAGGAGUCCACCAGUGACAGCUUUACUAUAGCCAGUUCUGGUCAGAGUAUUAAAGAAUUAACCAGCAUAAGGAUAGCCUGAUCAAUCAGGAGUCCACCAGUGACAGCUUUACUAUAGCCAGUUCUGGUCAGAGUAUUAAAGAAUUAACCAGCAUAAAGAUAGUCUGAUUCUGGUUCAGCUGGCUUCAAGAAUUGGCAUGGUCUUGGCAUGCUACAAACACAGAGUAAAUCAUCUGUAAAUCAUCUGUAAAGGAGAGAUGACCAAAUAAAAUGCACCUGGAAAAAAAAAAUUGGAAAUGGACUGACUACAACCAAAGGUAGUCAGAAAAAAUGAAGUGCAGUGAAAAGGACCAAAACUUGCAAAAAUAUUUGCAAUUAAAAUCCCAAAAUAAGGAAAGAAAGGUAAAGAAUGAGACUGGAGAAGAAAUUGGAGUAAUAAAACGCUAAACAAAAGAAAAAAAUCUGAAACAAAGUGAAAACAAUAAAAGUGACUAGGAGGACAUGAAGUGCAGGGAAGUGGACCUGAAGCUUGCCUAAUUGAUCCUCAUUGAAAUCUUGGAAUCAGAGAGGAAAGUGUAGCAAACACUCUGGAAAGGAGACAAAAUCAAAUCAAAUGCAAUUGUGGAAAAAAAAAAAA